AAACAAUUGAAUGUUAGUUAAAUGUUAGGUGAAUAUCUGUGAGGCAUCUACUGUAUAAUAGACCAAAAUCUUUAAUUUAGGCCAGAUUGGGGCAAAGUUGAACUUGGUCUUCUUGUUUUUGCAGUUGCCGUUCUGGAUGAAGGACCGAGAUAUAGUAGUAAUGCCUACCAAUGGGAGACAACGGAGUGGCUUCCUGGUUUGGAAUCUGAAGAGGCUCGCGGGCGUUCACCUACCCCUCCUCCUCCACCUCUCCCAGCCCCUCUGCCCCCCCUCACUCUUACCCCUAGUCGGCUGGGCGGCAGCUUCCGCCUGGGGGCCGGUGCGCGCCCCCUACAGACAGGUUACCCGCUGCGGCGGUACGAAGGCCAGAGAGACUUCCACUCGUCACUGAGCCGGGACGAGUGUUCCUCACCGGUGUACGAGGAGUACCGGGAGGACGAGGGCCAUUACGACAGGCUCCCGGCCGUGCGACCCCCUUACAGGGGCUACGGCGAGGGCCGGGCCAGCCCCUCGUGCUAUCACUCGGGCCACAGCCAACCCCCUUCACACCCACCCCUGCUGGCCUGGGAGGAAAGACCGCGGGUCUGGGAAGAAUCGCGUCCCUUUGGCAGCCAGAGGGAAAUUAGCAGACUUUCAGACAGGCACUCGCUACGGGCCCGACCCCAGCGGGCUGAACAAAACAGCCCCUUCAGGUCACUGUCUGCAAUGGGUCAGUAUGAACACUACUGACAGUGAAGUGGCACUUUUUUGGACUACAUAUUGAGACUGGAAUGCUCUAUAUGCUCUUUUGACUACUUGCUUAAAACUGCCCAUGUCAUCGCAAUGCCAGCAUAUUUACACAAAAUACAUGGACCAACAAGAAAAGGAAACAAAAAAAAAGACUUCAGAAAUGAACCUUGAAGGCAAGGCCUAAAUACCAUGGUGUACAGGGGUUGGACAAUGAACCUGAAACACCUGUCGUCAUUUUAGUGUGGGAGGUUUCAUGGCUAAACUGGACCAGCCUGGUGGCCAAUCUUCAUUAAUUGCACAUUGCACCAGUAAGAGCAGAGUGUGAAGGUUCAAUUAGCAGGGUAAGAGCACAGUUCUGCUCAAAAUAUUGCAAUGCACACAACAUUAUGGGAGACAUACCAGAGUUCAAAAGAGGGCAAAUUGUUGGUGCACGUCUUGCUGGAGCAUCUGUGACCAAGACAGCAAGUCUUUGUGAUGCAUCAACAGCCACGAUAUCCAGGGUAAUGUCAGCAUACCACCAAGAAGGACCAACCACAUCCAACAGGAUUAACUGUGGACGCUGUAAGAGGAAGCUGUCAGAAAGGGAUGUUCGGGUGCUGACCCGAAUUGUAUCCAAAAAACAUAAAAACCACAGCUGCCCAAAUCACGGAAGAACCCAAUGUUCACCUCAACUCUCCUGUUUCCACCAGAACUGUCCGUCACCACAAUAAAUUAUUGUGGUCUAAAACCA
rnacentral:lncRNA from 1 species